UCUCACGGAUGAGCAAAGGAAGUGGUUUCUUGGGAUGGAAUCUACUACUCCUAAUGAAGAUGCUGUAAA
rnacentral:pre_miRNA from 1 species